rnacentral:rRNA from 2 species
UGAGGAAUCUUGCGCAAUGGGGGAAACCCUGACGCAGCAACGCCGCGUGAGUGAGGAAGGUCUUCGGAUCGUAAAGCUCUGUCAGAUGGAAAGAACCGCAUGGGGGCCAAUACCUCUCAUGCCUGACGGUACCAUCAGAGGAAGCACCGGCUAACUCCGUGCCAGCAGCCGCGGUAAUACGGGGGGUGCAAGCGUUGUUCGGAAUUAUUGGGCGUAAAGAGCGUGUAGGCGGCAGGAUGUGUCAGAUGUGAAAGCCCUGAGCUCAACUCAGGAAGUGCAUUUGAAACUGUCCAGCUUGAGUAGGGGAGAGGGAAGUGGAAUUCCUGGUGUAGAGGUGAAAUUCGUAGAUAUCAGGAGGAACACCGGUGGCGAAGGCGACUUCCUGGCCCUAUACUGACGCUGAGACGCGAGAGCGUGGGUAGCAAACAGG